CCCUUAGAUGUUCUGGGCCGCACGCGCGCUACACUGAUGAAUUCAACGAACACUAACCUGUGCCGAAAGGUUCGGGUAAUCUUGUGAAAUUUCAUCGUGAUGGGGAUUGAUUAUUGCAAUUUUUAAUCAUAAACGAGGAAUGCCUAGUAAGCGUGAGUCAUCAGCUCACGUUGAUUACGUCCCUGCCCUUUGUACACACCGCCCGUCGCUCCUACCGAUUGAAUGUGCCAGUGAAAAGUUCGGAUUGGAGAUAGGAAACGGCAACGUAUCCUAUUUCCGAGAAAAUCUUUAAACUUUCCCAUUUAGAGGAAGGAGAAGUCGUAACA
rnacentral:rRNA from 1 species